CCUACGGGAGGCAGCAGUGGGGAAUAUUGCGCAAUGGGGGAAACCCUGACGCAGCAACGCCGCGUGCGGGACGAAGGCUCUCGGGUCGUAAACUGCUUUCAUCAGGGAAGACAAUGACGGUACCUGCCGAAUAAGCACCGGCUAACUCCGUGCCAGCAGCCGCGGUAAUACGUAGGGGGCGAGCGUUAUCCGGAUUCAUUGGGCGUAAAGCGGGCGUAGGCGGGCGCGUAAGCGGAAGCGAAAACCCGGGGGCUAAACCUCGAGCCGGGUUUGAAACUAGGCGGCUCGAGUGCGGUAGAGGUAGGCGGAAUUCCCGGUGUAGCGGUAGAAUCCGCAGAUAUCGAGAAGAACACCGAUGGCGAAGGCAGCCCUCUGGAACAUCACUGACGCUGAGGCGCGAAAGCUGGGGGAGCGAACAGGAUUAGAUACCCUAGUAGUC
rnacentral:rRNA from 1 species